CGUGCCUAAUACAUGCAAGUCGAACGCAUUGUGGUUGAAAUGAUAUGAAGAACUUGUUCAGUAUUUGAUUUCAAUAUUGCAAUGAGUGGCGAACGGGUGAGUAACACGUGGGAAACCUACCUCUUAGCAGGGGAUAACAUUUGGAAACAAAUGCUAAUACCGUAUAAUAAUUAAAACCGCAUGGUCUUAGUUUAAAGAUGGUCUUGCUAUCACUAAGAGAUGGUCCCGCGGUGUAUUAGUUAGUUGGUGAGGUAAUGGCUCACCAAGACAAUGAUACAUAGCCGAGUUGAGAGACUGACCGGCCACAAUGGGACUGAGACACGGCCCAUACUCCUACGGGAGGCAGCAGUAGGGAAUCUUCCACAAUGGACGAAAGUCUGAUGGAGCAACGCCGCGUGUGUGAUGAAGGGUUUCGGCUCGUAAAACACUGUUGUAAGAGAAGAAUGACAUUGAGAGUAACUGUUCAAUGUGUGACGGUAUCUUACCAGAAAGGAACGGCUAAAUACGUG
rnacentral:rRNA from 1 species